rnacentral:rRNA from 1 species
ACGAACGCUGGCGGCAUGCCUAACACAUGCAAGUCGAACGAGACCUUCGGGUCUAGUGGCGCACGGGUGCGUAACGCGUGGGAACCUGCCCUUAGGUUCGGAAUAACUCCCCGAAAGGGGUGCUAAUACCGGAUAAUGUCUUCGGACCAAAGAUUUAUCGCCUUUGGAUGGGCCCGCGUUGGAUUAGCUAGUUGGUAGGGUAAAAGCCUACCAAGGCGACGAUCCAUAGCUGGUCUGAGAGGAUGAUCAGCCACACUGGGACUGAGACACGGCCCAGACUCCUAUGGGAGGCAGCAGUGGGGAAUAUUGGACAAUGGGCGAAAGCCUGAUCCAGCAAUGCCGCGUGAGUGAUGAAGGCCUUAGGGUUGUAAAGCUCUUUUACCCGGGAUGAUAAUGACAGUACCGGGAGAAUAAGCUCCGGCUAACUCCGUG